CAUUUAGGUUGGUCAUUUGAAACGUCCAAAUUGAUAAUGUUCUUUCAUCUUUAUGUGGUUUUCAUGGAAGCAUGAGAACUCCUCAAAGACAGAGCAAUGGCUCUAAAAUGGAUCUGCUCCAGUCACUAGAACUCCUGCAUUCCCAGGACCAACACCUGUGUAUCCAGGACCAUGUUUUCCAGCCCAGAAAUGACUCCUGCACACCUAAAGAUACCCCAUCAGCCCUCACCUCGCCUGUAAGCCUCCUUCCCAGGAAAUAAAAGCAGAGGAACAAAGAAGCCACAGAUGAACAAAGAGUUUCAUCUCGGGGAUAUGGAAAUGAAAUACACUGCAUAACUGUUAAAGACUGAAUU
rnacentral:lncRNA from 10 species